rnacentral:rRNA from 1 species
UACGUAGGGUGCGAGCGUUGUCCGGAAUUAUUGGGCGUAAAGGGCUCGUAGGCGGUUUGUCGCGUCGGGAGUGAAAACACCGGGCUUAACUCGGUGUUUGCUUUCGAUACGGGCAGACUAGAGGCAUGCAGGGGAGAACGGAAUUCCUGGUGUAGCGGUGAAAUGCGCAGAUAUCAGGAGGAACACCGGUGGCGAAGGCGGUUCUCUGGGCAUGUCCUGACGCUGAGGAGCGAAAGUGUGGGGAGCGAACAGG